rnacentral:snRNA from 1 species
GUGCUUGCUUCACAUAUACUAAAAUUGGAAGGAUUAGCAUGGCCCCUGUGCAAGGAUGACACAGCACCUUUCUUCCUCAUCAUUUU